AAUUUAAUAAUUUUGAUAUUGGAUUUUUUUGUUUUGGCAAGAGCGUGAGAGCUUUUACUGGGCAAGAAGACAAGAGAUGGAGAGUCCAGCCGGGCCUGCGCUUAAGUGCGCGGUCUUGCUAGGCUUGCAAGUUUCUUUCUUGCUAUUCCAAACAGUGAGACUUCUCUGUUUUUGUUAUAGGACAAUUAAAACCGUUUCAAUACAACACACUGUGGAGUUUUUAUACUUUUGCAACUUUUUCUUUGGGUUUCGAGCAAUCGAGCCCAGAGGUAACAAACACAAACAAUUUUAUUUAUUCAUUAAAUUUUUGUCAAAAACAAGAAUUUUCGUAACUGGAAAUUUUAAAAAUAAUUAAAAACUUUCAACAACGGAUCUCUUGGUUCUCGCAUCGAUGAAGAACGCAGCGAAAUGCGAUACGUAAUGUGAAUUGCAGAAUUCCGUGAAUCAUCGAAUCUUUGAACGCACAUUGCGCCCCUUGGUAUUCCAGGGGGCAUGCCUGUUUGAGCGUCAUUUCCUUCUCAAACAUUCUGUUUGGUAGUGAGUGAUACUCUCUGGAGUUAACUUGAAAUUGCUGGCCUUUUCAUUGGAUGUUUUUUUUCCAAAGAGAGGUUUCUCUGCGUGCUUGAGGUAUAAUGCAAGUACGGUCGUUUUAGGUUUUACCAACUGCGGCUAAUCUUUUUUGUACUGAGCGUAUUGAAACGUUAUCGAUAAGAAGAGAGCGUCUAGGCGAACAAUGUUCUUAAAGUUUGACCUCAAAUCAGGUAGGAGUACCCGCUGAACUUAAGCAUAUCAAUAA
rnacentral:misc_RNA from 1 species